ACAGGGAGGCCCUAGGACACUGGGGCAGCAGGUAGGAGAGACAGGGAGGCCCUAGGACACUGGAGCAGCAGGUAGGAGAGACAGGGAGGCCCUAGGACACUGGAGCAGCAGGUAGGAGAGACAGGGAGGCCCUAGGACACUGGAGCAGCAGGUAGGAGAGACAGGGAGGCCCUAGGACACUGGAGCAGCAGGUAGGAGAGACAGGGAGGCCCUAGGACACUGGAGCAGCAGGUAGGAGAGACAGGGAGGCCCUAGGACACUGGAGCAGCAGGUAGGAGAGACAGGGAGGCCCUAGGACACUGGAGCAGCAGGUAGGAGAGACAGGGAGGCCCUAGGACACUGGAGCAGCAGGUAGGAGAGACAGGGAGGCCCUAGGACACUGGAGCAGCAGGUAGGAGAGACAGGGAGGCCCUAGGACACUGGAGCAGCAGGUAGGAGAGACAGGGAGGCCCUAGGACACUGGAGCAGCAGGUAGGAGAGACAGGGAGGCCCUAGGACACUGGAGCAGCAGGUAAGAGAGACAGGGAGGCCCUAGGACACUGGAGCAGCAGGUAGGAGAGACAGGGAGGCCCUAGGACACUGGAGCAGCAGGUAAGAGAGACAGGGAGGCCCUAGGACACUGGAGCAGCAGGUAGGAGAGACAGGGAGGCCCUAGGACACUGGAGCAGCAGGUAGGAGAGACAGGGAGGCCCUAGGACACUGGAGCAGCAGGUAAGAGAGACAGGGAGGCCCUAGGACACUGGAGCAGCAGGUAAGAGAGAC